GUGUCACAUUUCUCAGGAAAUGUCAGCUUCUGGGCAGGGCUUAGACUCCCGCAGUUCCUAGUCCCACCCCCAGCCUCUCAUUCCAGCUCAGAGCGUGAAAGAGAAUAAAUUUCUGCUCUUCUGAGCCUUGUUGCGUUUUUAUCCGAAGACCUCCGGCAGCAGCAUGAAGUUGGGAGGCUUCCUCCUGCUUGUGACCCUAGUCACCCUCAGCUCAGUGGUGCAGGAGCUUCAGGCUGCGGUGAGACCGUUUAGAGUUUUUGGCACCUGUGUUGACCUCUGCAAUGGCGACUGGGACUGUGGUCCAGAAGAGCGCUGUGUCAGCAAUGGCUGUGGCCACGUCUGUGUUUCGAACUAAGAGUUCCUAUUUUCAAAGAUGUGACUACUCGAAGGUCCUUGCCCAGGAAGACAGAUGAAGACAGGGACCUAUGGAUGGAAUGGACAAAUGAUGCGGAUGGGAAGAGAAAAUACUUGUUUCUUUUAAUAAAUCAUCAUUAAAAGCA